rnacentral:rRNA from 1 species
UACAGAGGGUGCAAGCGUUAAUCGGAAUUACUGGGCGUAAAGCGUGCGUAGACGGUUAUGUAAGUCAGAUGUGAAAGCCCCGGGCUCAACCUGGGAAUUGCAUUUGAGACUGUGUAGCUAGGGUGCGGAAGAGGGAAGCGGAAUUUCCGGUGUAGCGGUGAAAUGCGUAGAUAUCAGGAGGAACACCGGUGGCGAAGGCGGGUCUCUGGGCCGAUAUUGACGCUGAGGAGCGAAAGCGUGGGGAGCGAACAGG